UAAAUCCCCUCCCCUUUCUUCGUCACAUCCUCUUUCAAGUUGGUGUCCUCGCUUUAGUGACACAUCUCCACAAGAUGAGAGCAAAGUGGAGGAAGAAGCGUAUGCGCAGGCUGAAGCGUAAAAGGCGAAAGAUGAGGCAGAGGUCUAAGUAGACUGGCCCAUCCAUACCCUACAGCUGUGAUCUCCAAUCCCUCUCUGGUGACUGAAGUCUGCAGUCCAUGAUGUGAAGAGCUGAAUGUGGUAGUCUGAAGAAAGUGUUGCAAUGGCGUAAAGGACAGAUCCUGGUUACCCAGUCUUCUACUCUGCAAAUGGCUGCUGGCUGACUACUGGAGAAUGGCGAGGAAGACCUGAGAAUUGAAUCGUUGGUCGUUUUUAAUUCUGGCCUUACACCAUCUGCCCAGCACAGCUGAUUUGUUGUAAAGACCAUAAUAAAUCUUUGGUUUACUAACUACAUUGCUCCCUGUUAAUUGACUUAUUGGUCGUGUCUUUCAAGCCACAUGUGUUAGUUAGCCCUACAGUAAAAUCCUUAUGAGAACGAGGCAACUCUUGAAACCAUGUUGCAGCACACUUAGUUUUUGAACUGCCUUUGGGUAUUGAUAUGGGUUCAGGUUCUUGAUUCUACUUAAGGGUAGCCUUUGGUGUUCUAUUUUUUUGGGGGGGUGAAACAAGGGCUCCUGUUCAUUUUCACCAAUGUCAUUUAAUAGUAAUAUGACAAUAGAUUUAGAUCAAAUGAACAGAAUGGCAGUUUUGGAGCUCUUAUCUAGCGGGAACAUGUCCACCACUAAACUAAAUCCAAGCCCCAAAAUGCAUAAUUGUGAAGAUUAAACUCAGUCCGCUUGGGCUCGACAGUGAGUCGUUUUGGAUGCUAUAGAAAACCACAGGAUGUGGAGGCAACAAUAUCGACAUGGGCAAUCAGCUACAACUCUUACCCGGUACAAAGGUCUUUAAUUGCAUUGGUAGACUAGUGUACUGAAGCAUACGUUGGUUAUUGUAAUAGGACUUUAAACGCAUCGGUUUCCUAUUCAAAGAAACGAGGCCAUACUUCAUGUGACAGCAUAAUGAACUCAUUCAAUCACUGUCGUAGUGAAGCUAAUUUUCACGGAUUGAUUGCUUUCAUUAAAAUAUAUCUUGCUAGUUACAUAACAGAUGUCUCGUUAGCUAGCUACCUUGCAUGCUAAUGUCAUUUAAUUCCCAGCUGCUAGUCAUGUCAGUCUACUAGUAAUAGCUUGCCAAACCUAGGUUUUCUGUGAUUAUCUUCCAAAUGCAUCUUCAUGUCCAAGUUAUUAACGCAAUGCCUCGGGAAAUUGUCUUGCAAUGGGGCAAGUAAAAGUGAAAGCACAUUUUUCCUUAUGGCCACUUUGACUAUUCUUACAGAAAAUUAAGGGGAUGAGAUGGGGACUUAAACUCGGGACAGUGAGGAUGCAGAAAAACCAAGCAUAAACUUUGACCCGAGUCUUUCAACUUCACAUGCUGUGGGUUUCAUAUUUACAUUAAAGUAUUGUUGUACAGAUGUGUCAUUGAGUAUAGAGUUUUUGGUUUUCUACACUGCGCUAGUGCUUCGGCCCCCCUCCCAGUACGAUGACGACAGCUGCCAGACCAUCCCAGUGCUUCCAUUCACCGCCGGCAUGCUUAUCCCUGUACAGACCCUGCGGCUGCAGCUCUUCAGACUGCAGGAGGUCAGCAUGAUGCGCAACAUCAUCCAGAGAGACCGCACCUUUGCUGUGCUCGCACACAGUGACAGGUGAGGUGCAUGCAGAGUUUGGGACGACAGCUGAAAUCUAUGCUUAUCGGGAGGGGCAGGAGUACGGCAUCGAGACUGUCAAAGUGAAGGUAGUCGGACGGCAGCGGUUCUAGGUCCAUGAACCCAGGCAGAUGGAGGAAGUUCCACUGGGCCAACAUGACAUCGUGGCCUCCCUGGGUCUACGCCCUCUAUGACUCUGUGUACUCAACAUUGUUCUAUAGGAGAUUGAUGAACAG